UCAAAUAAGAGAAAGGAGAGGGUGCAUUGUGUCGGGUGGAAGAAGGGAGUAUUAGCAUGCUAACUAAAUUUCUUUGCCACCUUGAAUAUCUCCCAAAAUCCAUUGAGAUAUUAAAAAGAGAAAGAUUAGGUAUUCAAGUAUGAAGAAAGAGAAGAUGAGAGUUAGCAAAGAAAACAUUCUCUCUUAUUUUUCUCUCACGCACCCGCCCACUUAGAAAAAAAAAAGAGAAAGAGAUCAGCCACUAAAGAAGGCAAAGGAGAAAGAAGAAGAAGGAAGAGAGCAAUAAGAAAGGUAUAACACCCUAAUUUAGUUUAUUCCUUUUAUUAUGUUUGAUUUUGAUGAGCUAUCAAGUUAUGAUUUUGAACUUUAAAAAAACUUUAGAUGUACAUGUUAUAUAGUGUAUUUUGUA
rnacentral:lncRNA from 1 species